rnacentral:rRNA from 1 species
AUACGUAGGGGGCGAGCGUUGUCCGGAAUGAUUGGGCGUAAAGGGCGCGUAGGCGGCUUUGCAAGUCAGUAGUGGAAGUCCAUUUUUCAAGGAUGGAAGUGCUACAGAAACUGCGGAGCUUGAGUGCAGGAGAGGUUAUCGGAAUUCCCGGUGUAGCGGUGAAAUGCGUAGAGAUCGGGAGGAACACCAGUGGCGAAGGCGGGUAACUGGACUGCAACUGACGCUGAGGCGCGAAAGUGUGGGGAGCAAACAGGAUUAGAUACCCUGGUAGUCCACACUGUAAACGAUGAAUGCUAGGUGUAGGAGGUAUCGACCCCUUCUGUGCCGCAGUAAACACAGUAAGCAUUCCGCCUGGGGAGUACGGUCGCAAGAUUAAAACUCAAAUAAAUUGACGGGG